CCUACGGGAGGCAGCAGUGGGGAAUAUUGCGCAAUGGGGGAAACCCUGACGCAGCAACGCCGCGUGGGUGAAGAAGGCCUUCGGGUUGUAAAGCUCUGUCUUCUGGGACGAUAAUGACGGUACCAGAGGAGGAAGCCACGGCUAACUACGUGCCAGCAGCCGCGGUAAU
rnacentral:rRNA from 1 species